CAGUCGCCGCGGUAAUACGUAGGGUGCGAGCGUUAAUCGGAAUUACUGGGCGUAAAGCGUGCGCAGGCGGUUGUGUAAGACAGGUGUGAAAUCCCCGGGCUUAACCUGGGAACUGCGCUUGUGACUGCACAGCUAGAGUAUGGCAGAGGGGGGUGGAAUUCCACGUGUAGCAGUGAAAUGCGUAGAGAUGUGGAGGAACACCGAUGGCGAAGGCAGCCCCCUGGGCUAAUACUGACGCUCAUGCACGAAAGCGUGGGGAGCAAACAGGAUUAGAUACCCGAGUAGUCCCUGUCUCUUAUAC
rnacentral:rRNA from 1 species